rnacentral:rRNA from 1 species
GGAGUUAGCCGGUGCUUCUUCUGUGAGUGAUGUCCUUCCUGCCGGCUAUUAACCCGCAGGCCUUCUUCCUCACUGAAAGUGCUUUACAACCCGAAGGCCUUCUUCACACACGCGGCAUGGCUGGAUCAGGGUUGCCCCCAUUGUCCAAUAUUCCCCACUGCUGCCUCCCGUAGGAGUCUGGGCCGUGUCUCAGUCCCAGUGUGGCUGAUCAUCCUCUCAGACCAGCUACGGAUCGUCGCCUUGGUGAGCCGUUACCUCACCAACCAGCUAAUCCGACAUAGGCUCAUCCGAUAGCGCGAGGCCCGAAGGUCCCCCGCUUUCCCCCGUAGGGCGUAUGCGGUAUUAGCCUGGGUUUCCCCAGGUUAUCCCCCACUACCGGGCAGAUUCCUAUGCAUUACUCACCCGUCCGCCGCUCGCCACCAGGGAGCAAGCUCCCCGUGCUGCCGCUCGACUUGCAUGUGUUAGGCCUGCCGCCAGCGUUCAAUCUGAGCANGANACAACUACUGA